GAGACGCUGGCGGCGUGCCUAACACAUGCAAGUCGAACGGAAGCAAGACUCCGGUUUUGCUUUUAGUGGCGAACGGGUGAGUAACGCGUGAGAAACCUGCCUUUCAGUGGGGGACAACAGUUGGAAACGACUGCUAAUACCGCAUAAUGUACACGGAUCGCAUGAUCUGUGUACCAAAGCUUUAUGUGCUGAAAGAUGGUCUCGCGUCUGAUUAGCUAGUUGGUGGGGUAACGGCUCACCAAGGCGACGAUCAGUAGCCGGUCUGAGAGGAUGAACGGCCACAUUGGGACUGAGAUACGGCCCAGACUCCUACGGGAGGCAGCAGUGGGGAAUAUUGGACAAUGGGGGAAACCCUGAUCCAGCGACGCCGCGUGAGUGAAGAAGUAUUUCGGUAUGUAAAGCUCUAUCAGCAGGGAAGAAAAACAUGACGGUACCUGACUAAGAAGCCCCGGCUAACUACGUG
rnacentral:rRNA from 1 species